UGGCUUUCUUCUAAUAAUGGGAAAUUUAUAUGCAUUUGCAAAUAGAAUAUUGGUAUGCUUCAUUGACAUUUAAUGAGGUCUAACAUGGUCACACUGUGCACUUCUACAGUCAUUUCUGCCUCUACAUGAUACUAAUUGGAUCUUUUCCAAAACACAUUAGGCCAUUUAUGCUAUUUGUUGUCUUAAAAUGUUCCAUUGCCAAUUAUCUCCAAAAAUUUGCUCCAGAGUUUGCUUCUGAUUACAGCCAUUAAACGUACUUCAACAUUUUAACUUUUCAGUAAAAGAGAAGGUCCUUGUUUUGCUAUAAAAUUUUCCAAUUG
rnacentral:lncRNA from 1 species